CCCCCAGCCUCUGCUCAUUGGUCCAGGAGCUGAUCUUAAGCUCAGUCCCUCAGCUUUGCUCUCUUUUACAAGCACAAUGCUAGGGUUGCCUUUUCCCUUUGUGUCUUUAUGGAGGAUUCAGGUUGAGUAGUUUUAUGCUGGAGCUCGCACCCUAUGGUUCUGCAACUGGGGUGUGUUACCUGGUGCCUAUGUUGCUUUGAGAAGAGGAAAAGAAGCCAACCUGUGCUGAUAAGUGAAAAGCGAACUCUUUUGUUCUCAGCCUACAUGUAACAUCACAAGUGGGAAGGAUACAGGUGACUUUGGAGCCUCCUUAAAGGAUGAGGAAAGCUUUUCCUGUGUCAUGAGGAAAACCUACUGUGGGGUGAGGCUGACUUUACAGAAGUCUCCUCAUUGACUGGCUGAAAUAAACUGCCUGCCCAAAGCCACCUUUGCCACAAGGAUCCCAGAGAAACAGGAGUGCCCAGAAGAGAUGGAAGGAAAGGCACGAUCUGCUCCUAACUGUGGCUGCCUGGCUGUUACAAUUUAUCAUGAACGCAUCUCACUUCACUUUUGGCUCCUCUGACGGAAGGAACAGCCGGUCUCCGGGAGGUCAAAGACAUUAUUUUCCCUUCGUCUUUCUCAGUUUCCAGCACAUAUUUGUCACUUUGAAAAAGCAUGAAUUCUGGAUUUGAUGCACUUUAAUUGAUUUCACCCUCAACAAGUUCAACUGUCCAUCAACCUUUCCUUUCUCUUUCCUCUCCCCCUUCCCUGUAUUUAUUUCUUUCCUCUGUCCCUUUACUUUGAGAGUGAUGUUUUCACUCUCCCACAUGUUGAAGCUGUUGCAAAGCUCACGACCCUAUCAAGGCUUACUGUCACUAGCUAUUUCUCUCAUUUUCUUUAUCCUCCAAGUUGAACUUUGAAUGCUGAGUGAGCAUGAAGCCGCCUUAUAGGAGUGACGGUCUUGUGGUAUCUUACUGAUGUGCUCCUUGUCAAAGUAAAAGUGACUGCUGAUAGCUGAA